AAUAACUAGUCCUACUAGUACUAAACAAGAAAGAAAAUAAUAAACAAACACUAAAUAGGAAUCCCAAACAAACUCAAACUUCCUAAACAAAAUAAAAUAAUACUUCCUAAAUAAUAACAGAAUUCUUAAAUUUCCUAAUACUAAAAAAAUCUAAAUUAAAGAUCUUAAAUUUACAAUUAAAAAUUGAAUAAAAAUAAUUCCUAAAUUAAAUCUUCCUUGACUGCAUCAAGAACAUUUCUCCAAAUAUGUCAUUGAGCUAUUUAACCAAAUUGUAGCUACUAACUUAUUGCAUAAGUACACAAGACAAGCAUUCAUGAUCAUCAUAAGGGCAACAUGGCCGAACCACUUCCCAUGUUCAAAGGAGCAAUCACAAGAGCUAGAGCCAAGGCAUUGCAAGGACUAGUUCAAGCACAUAUUGAUCAAGUAUGACAACCCAACAUGCAAGGAAUUCAAGAGGAGCACAAGUGUAGCGUGUUAAUGCAAUUCAAUAUUCAAAGUGAACCAAACCAUGGUCAAGCAAAGUGAGCCGAACCAAGGUCCAACCAAACCGAACCUCUUCAAUCCCAAAAAGAUUCCAAUUCUGUCAAUUCAGCAACCUUGCACCUUGUAAGCUUUAUCCAAGUUGCAAAGGAAAGUGAGAGAAUCUCUUGUCCAAGAUAUAAAGGAAAAAGCAACAUUGUCAUUUUCAACUAUAAGAUAAAAGAAACUUUUGUAAUCAAAUUUCAAAAUUCAACACUUGGAAAAACUCUUGGAAAAACUAUAAUGUGAUUUUUACUUAAAAUGGGAAUGAAUGCAUUUUAUCCAACACUUGGAAAAACUCUUGGAUAAAGACUCCAAGUGUUGGCAGAACCAAGGACAGCCUUAUAAGGCUUUCUUCUUCAUUUUGUUAGUUCAGUUUUAGAAUCUGCCAUUGUUAAGCUUGUAAGCUUAAGAACUCCUUUGAAAGAGUUUUAUGUAUAUUUUUCCUAAGUUCCACUAAGAACUUAGAUUCAAUAUAAUUUAGUCACUUAUAUUAUCACUUAUAUUAUUGCAUUUUGAUGUUUAGUAUAAUCUAGCACAAGUUACCUUAUUUGUAUCAGAUCCUUGACUUUCUUCUACUAAUAAAAGUGGUUAUUCUUCACAUAUUGGUGUUUAUGUUAUCUUGUUAGUAAAAGAGUUGUUUAAGUUGUGAUUGUUGCUUGUUUUGGACGUUCCAUGGGAAAAUCAUUUCAACAAAAAGUGAGCUUGCUUCUAGCCUAGACGUGAGCUUGCAUCAAGCACUUGCAUAAGAUAACAGCUAACGCAUGCAUUUUGCAACCGUCAAAACUGUCUAGGGUAAACUCUUUCACACU
rnacentral:misc_RNA from 1 species